AGGGGAAUAGCUCAGUGGUAGAGCGCAUGCUUAGCAUGCAAGAGGUCCUGGGUUCCAGUACCUCCG
rnacentral:tRNA from 1 species